rnacentral:lncRNA from 1 species
UGAGUUUGCUAGACAGGAGACCACACCCGGGCAGAGAGGAGACACCAGAGUGUAAUUCAUACCACAGCUGCUGUUUACAGUGCUUAUGAAAAAUGAUGAAUCGGCAACCUUGCAGAAUCAAGCACCCAAAGGAUAUGCUGCCUUGACACCUGUGAUGUCUGGUUUUGAGUGGURUGCUGGACUAUSGAGGUGGAAAGGCCUUUAUACACARAAAAGCUCCAUCUCUAGUUUUUACCUGGCUGCUGAAAKUGGUUUCCCCAGAACGUUCAGUGAGGAAGAAUUGAGAAAAGAGGCUGAACAUAAAGUAUCRUCUUUUGGGGCUCUACAUCUCCUAACAUUUGAAAGUCUUGGUGAAGAGAAAGGGAUCUCAAUCUCAGUGUUUUUACUUCUUGGUGUUCCCGUGUGAAGUAAGUAUUAAUACUGCCCAGUUUUACAGGCAGAGGCUGACUUUGUACUGUUGCAAAAAGGCAGCUGCUAAUAGCUUUUCUAACACUAUCCUGAGCUUUUACCACCAGAAGUCUUGUAUAUAUUGUGCUCUAGAGUGUAGAUUUCUGUAAAAUGUAAUUGAAUCGUUCUAUAGAAUAUUUUUUUUUACACCUGUUUCUCGUAUGUUGUUAGUCCUUAAACCAUCUCUACUAAACACUGCAUCUGUCUGGAGUCCAACUGAAAUUAAUUUAUCAGCUCAUGAGGAAAAGUGUGCAGGAUCAGGGUCAGUCAAAGAACCAAAUGUUG